UACGGAGGGUGCAAGCGUUGUCCGGAUUUAUUGGGUUUAAAGGGUGCGUAGGUGGCCUCUUAAGUCAGCUUUGAAGCCUGGUCGCUUAAACGAUCAGGGGUGGGUUGAUACUGGGGAGGCUUGGAUCAGGUGGCGGUUUCUGGAACGGGUCGUGUAGCGGUGAAAUGCAUAGAUAUGACCCAGAACUCCGAUUGCGAAGGCAGG
rnacentral:rRNA from 1 species